GGCUAACGGAAACCUGUGAAAGCUGCAGGGUAGUUGGCUAUCACACUGUUAUGCAAUGGGGGGGGGGGAGCCUGUUUCUUGAGUUGGAAAGGCUACAUGGAUCCAAAUACGGAAAACUAUCAGGAUCGAAACCCUGCGAGAGAAAAUCCCCGGGACAUCUAUACUGUAACAAAUCAAAGCAGGCAGCGAGGGGAGGAGGACAUGAGUUGAGUUACAAAAAGAAGGGCCAAUAAAGCUGAAGAGGGCUGAACUGAGUAAGGAGGUGGUACUGCACCCCUGGUUCCUUAGCAACUGCCUCCUGGUGAACUGGAGGCUGGUGCAGCAGGCUAAGCAGGGAAGUCCAGAAUUCCCUCUCCCUGGCUACUUCGACCAGCUCCUCUCAGGGGAUCCCGAGGCAUUCCAAGGCCAGACAUAGUCUCUCCAACGUGGACUCCUACCGGUUAGAAGUUUCUUGCACACCUCACCAAGUAGGCACCCGGGAGGAAUCCUGACCUGAGCCACCUCAUCUGGCUCCUCUCACUGCGGAGGAGCAGCGGUUGUAGUCUGUUUCUCCUUGAUGACAGUGCUUCUCACCUUAUCUUUAAGGGAGAGCCAAGCCACCCUCUGAGAAAAGCUAAUUUGGUCCACUGGUAUGCACAAUCUUGUCCUUUCGGUCAAUAUGCAAAGCUCAUGACCAUAAAUGAGGUUAGGAACGUACAUACCAGUAAAUUGAGACCUUUGCUUAUGCCUCAGCUUCCUCUUCACCAUAACAGACCAAUGCAAAGUUCGCAUUCCUGCAGACGCCAGGGCAGCAGCACACCAUCAGCACCAUACACGGUGUUGACAGUGUACUGCUUGCCCCCCCUGACUUUGGAGCCGAGCUUGACCUGGCGGUACCCCUCAGCUCUCUCCAGAGUCCCAAAAAGCUCUGAUAGGACUCCUUCUUCAGCUUGACGGCAUUCCUCAUCGCCGAUGUCUGCCAAUGGGCUCUGGGAUUGCAGCCAUGACAGUCACCAACCACCUUACAGCCACAGCUCCCAUCAGCCGCCUCGUCAUCGGAGGCCCGGAACACGACCCAGGUAGUGGACUUGUGUGCUUGUCACAGAUUGUCGACAACACACACCAUGUUCAAGCCAAAUGGUUGUCUACAUGUGCUACUACGUACUAUAUACAGAUUGUUGCAUGGACAACUCAUAAGCAGUUGUACUUAUACUGAGAGUAUUGAACAAUAAAAAGCAAGACAUUUGCACACUUUCUUCCAACUCACUACAUAGUCAGCAGCAAUGGUGGGGGACGAUGCAGGAUUGCAGGGAUCCUCCACCUGCAUCACUAUCAGAGCUACUACGAGAGGAAGUGAAUUAUCUAUCCGUUCAUUUUCUAUGCUGCUUAUCAAGGAGUGAGCUAUUUGUUUUUGUUUUUAUUUAUAUGACUGGUCAACUUUGAAAUGGUACUUUAUUUA